rnacentral:tRNA from 2 species
GCCCGAUUAGCUCAUCUGGACAGAGCAUCUGUUUCCUAAACAGAGGGUGGCAGGUUCGAGUCCUGCAUCGGGCGCCA